CAACCAGGGGGCGCUUCGAAAUUGCGAUGGUAGCGCCACCGCAGUACAACACAUGGUCGUGUCGCGUCGGUCGUGUUCGUAGCGUUGCAUUGGCGUCGCAGGUGUUUCGAGCGUACAGUGAAGAUUUAGAGAAAGAUAGAAAGCGUGCGAGAGUUAUUUCUCAUGGUGAGUCAAGAAACGAUAGAGAAGCUUCAAUAACACGCAUCUUCCACCGAGAAAGCGGUUGAUUUCCCCGCCAACGAGUCGGGUCCGCCUCGCAAGUACGGUCGUGUCGCCCGUGCGGCGUCUACGAGAUAACUUUACAGGUUCAAGUUGUCCAGUCCACAUGCAAGAUUUCCAGAUAUUGGCUGGGGCUUGAUUCAUACUUUACUGUGUGGGACAUUUUAGGAGGAAAAUGUUGUGUAGCAAA